GGUUGAGCCACCAACAAGGACAACAUCAUCGAUUGAGUUCUUGUCCAUCUUAGCAUCACGAAGACACUUCUCAACAGGCUCCAUACACUUUCUGAAGAGAUCUAUGUUAAGCUCCUCGAAUCUGGCACGGGUGAUAGGAGC
rnacentral:sRNA from 1 species